UACGGGGGGGGCAAGCGUUGUUCGGAAUUACUGGGCGUAAAGGGCUCGUAGGCGGCCAACUAAGUCAGACGUGAAAUCCCUCGGCUUAACCGGGGAACUGCGUCUGAUACUGGAUGGCUCGAGUUCGGGAGAGGGAUGCGGAAUUCCAGGUGUAGCGGUGAAAUGCGUAGAUAUCUGGAGGAACACCGGUGGCGAAGGCGGCAUCCUGGACCGACACUGACGCUGAGGAGCGAAAGCCAGGGGAGCAAACGGAGUAUUACGAUACCGUCGUAG
rnacentral:rRNA from 1 species